rnacentral:piRNA from 1 species
UCUGAUAGGGGUGUGAAUGCUUACUAAU